GAGAGUAUAAUUUAAUGGAAAAAUAAAAAGCUUCAACCUUUAUAUUCUCAGUUCGAAUCCGAGUACUCUUG
rnacentral:tRNA from 1 species